rnacentral:rRNA from 1 species
GGGCCUACGGGAGGCAGCAGUGAGGAAUAUUGGGCAAUGGGCGAAAGCCUGACCCAGCAACGCCGCGUGGAGGAUGAAUGUCGUAAGAUUGUAAACUUCUUUUAGAGGGGACGAAAAAACAGGUUAGAAGCCUGAAUUGACGGUACCCUCAGAAUAAGCCCCGGCUAACUCCGUG